rnacentral:rRNA from 1 species
UACGUAGGGUGCAAGCGUUAAUCGGAAUUACUGGGCGUAAAGCGUGCGCAGGCGGUUUUGUAAGUCUGACGUGAAAUCCCCGGGCUCAACCUGGGUAUUGCGUUGGAGACUGCAAGGCUAGAAUCUGGCAGAGGGGGGUAGAAUUCCACGUGUAGCAGUGAAAUGCGUAGAGAUGUGGAGGAACACCGAUGGCGAAGGCAGCCCCCUGGGUCAAGAUUGACGCUCAUGCACGAAAGCGUGGGGAGCAAACAGG